CAACAGUUUUACAUAAAGGAAGCAAGGCUAAGGGUUCUUUUAAUUGCUGCUGCAAAGUGACUAGGCACUGAAUAUAUUCUAUUCAGCAGCAGAAACUAAAAACCUUGUCAAAAUCAUGCUGUUUUGGAGACAGGCUGAAUGACUUCCACAGCAUCAACAAAAGCCACAGCAUGAGGGCAGCGGAUCUACUGUGCUUAAGAAAGCCCAAUCCACCUGACCUGGGAGAUGCCAUAAAGACCCAUCAUCCCCUGGAUUUCACCAGUCUUAUUAUCAAUAUAGAUGUCAGCAAACCAGGUCAGAAUCAGCAUGGACUUAGCUUGUUAAGAUGUGAAUCUGUAGACCUGAAUGCCUGUUGAGAUAAAAUGAUCAUGGGCACUCACACCAAGACAGAGGUUUGACAUGAAAAUGAAAUAGCUACUGAUUUAUGCAGUAAGAGUGGCAUCAUUUUAGCAGUAGGAGAAACAAGGUCUAUGGUGUUUGAUAUGAAAUUUACAAAUAGAUGGCAAAGCUGGAAUAUUGAUUUUUCAAAAGAUGAAUGGCAGCUGGGAGAAUAUGAUCUUCUUGGGCCAUCCUUGUAGACGUUAUUCCAGAAGUCUAUUAUAUAGGCCUCUAGAAUUGUGGUUUAUUGUGAAGAAGACUGAGACCAGCUUGAUUUUUCCUCAUAUGUGAUUUUCUCUUCUACCUGAGUGCAUGUUUUAUUUCAUUCCUGAGAUUCAGAGACAAGGGGCCUUAUAACAACCUUUACCAAAGAAUCUCCAGCAUCCCUCUUAGCUUUGCAGCUCUGUUCUCACCUUUACUUCUCCUUUGUUUCUGUAAUUUCAUUUAUGCAAUAUUUCUCUUUUUUCUACAAGUCUUCUGCUCCUUUUCAGCUUGUUGUUGUUAUUCCUAUUUGAGGCAUAGUGACGAGUUCAAAUCACUUGCUUGAUUUGCACAUAUAUGAGAUAAUGAGUAUUCACUGGACUGUAUUUAGUGUUUCUGGAUGUAAUCAUGUGUUUCCUGUUUACUUCACAAUAUUGGCACUUCUAGGUGAAAAGGUGCUAUGAGAGGCAACGGAUAAAUAAAGAAACAUUAGAAGCCAGUACUUACUGU
rnacentral:lncRNA from 10 species